rnacentral:rRNA from 1 species
GACGAACGCUGGCGGCGUGCCUAAUACAUGCAAGUAGAACGCUGAAGAGAGGAGCUUGCUCUUCUUGGAUGAGUUGCGAACGGGUGAGUAACGCGUAGGUAACCUGCCUUGUAGCGGGGGAUAACUAAUGGAAACGAUAGCUAAUACCGCAUAACAAUGGAUGACACAUGUCAUUUAUUUGAAAGGGGCAAUUGCUUCACUACAAGAUGGACCUGCGUUGUAUUAGCUAGUAGGUGAGGUAACGGCUCACCUAGGCGACGAUACAUAGCCGACCUGAGAGGGUGAUCGGCCACACUGGGACUGAGACACGGCCCAGACUCCUACGGGAGGCAGCAGUAGGGAAUCUUCGGCAAUGGGGGCAACCCUGACCGAGCAACGCCGCGUGAGUGAAGAAGGUUUUCGGAUCGUAAAGCUCUGUUGUAAGUCAAGAACGAGUGUGAGAGUGGAAAGUUCACACUGUGACGGUAGCUUACCAGAAAGGGACGGCUAACUACGUG